CUCUAUCUGACUGCUUGAAUUUGUUGAUGAAAACCACGUGUAGCAAUAAAUAAUCAUUUUGAAGAUUGGACGCAUCGUGGUGCAUUGUGAUGCUUUGUGAUAUCGAAUUGAUUUGAAUCGUUAUCAGACCAGUUCAGAUUCGCACCCCUAGUUCUGCACACCCAUACAAUAAUAAUGUGACACCCAUACUGCCCCUGCUCAGUUGUUGACAUUCCUUAAAAAUAGUAAUGGAAAAAAAAAUGAGAAAGUUACUUAUAAGUAUAGCGGGUGGUUACUGACGUGUCCUCAUUUUGUCCAUGUCGAUAUGAUUUGAAGCUCAUCCUACACAACCAGCCCCAUCUGUUUCUUAAAGUGCUCAUAUUCUGCUUUU